rnacentral:rRNA from 1 species
AUUGAACGCUGGCGGCAGGCCUAACACAUGCAAGUCGAACGAGUGGCGGACGGGUGAGUAAUGUCUGGGAAACUGCCCGAUGGAGGGGGAUAACUACUGGAAACGGUAGCUAAUAACGCAUACUACCUGAUGUACCCAUAUGGGUUUAGCUAGUGGGUGGGGUAAAGGCUCACCUAGGCGACGAUCUCUAGCUGGUCUGGGAGGAUGAUCAGCCACCCUGGGACUGAGACACGGCCCAGAUUCCUCCGGGAGGCAGCAGAGGGGAAUAUUGCAAAAGGGGCGCAAGCCGGAUGCAGCCAUGCCGCGUGUAGGAAGAAGGCCUUAGGGUUGUAAAGUACUUUCAGCGAGGAGGCGUUACUCGCAGAAGAAGCACCGGCUAACUCCGUGCCAGCAGCCGCGGUAAUAC